UACGAAGGGGGCUAGCGUUGCUCGGAAUGACUGGGCGUAAAGGGCGCGUAGGCGGAUGACACAGUCAGAUGUGAAAUUCCCGGGCUUAACCUGGGGGCUGCAUUUGAUACGUGUUGUCUAGAGUGAGGAAGAGGGUUGUGGAAUUCCCAGUGUAGAGGUGAAAUUCGUAGAUAUUGGGGGGAACACCGGUGGCGAAGGCGGCAACCUGGUCCUUGACUGACGCUGAGGCGCGAAAGCGUGGGGAGCAAACAGG
rnacentral:rRNA from 1 species